CUACGGGAUGCUCCAGUGAGGAAUAUUGCACAAUGGAGGAAACUCUGAUGCAGCAACGCCGCGUGGAGGAUGACGCAUUUCGGUGUGUAAACUCCUUUUAUAUGUCAAGAAAAUGACGGUAGCAUAUGAAUAAGCACCGGCUAACUCCGUGCCAGCAGCCGCGGUAAUACGGAGGGUGGCAAGCGUUACUCGGAAUCACUGGGCGUAAAGGACGCGUAGGCGGGAUAUCAAGUCAGGUGUGAAAUCCUACAGCUUAACUGUAGAACUGCACUUGAAACUGGUAACCUAGAGUAUGGGAGGGGGAGAUGGAAUUAGUGGUGUAGGGGUAAAAUCCGUAGAUAUCACUAGGAAUACCUACAGCGAAGGCGAUCUCCUGGAACAUAACUGACGCUAAGGCGUGAAAGCGUGGGGAGAAAACAGGAUUAGAUACCCGAGUAGUC
rnacentral:rRNA from 1 species